rnacentral:rRNA from 1 species
UACGGGGGGAGCAAGCGUUGUUCGGAUUUACUGGGCGUAAAGGGCGCGUAGGCGGCGUGACAAGUCACUUGUGAAAUCUCCGGGCUUAACCCGGAGCGGCCAAGUGAUACUGUCGUGCUAGAGUGCGGAAGGGGCUACUGGAAUUCUCGGUGUAGCGGUGAAAUGCGUAGAUAUCGAGAGGAACACCUGCGGCGAAGGCGGGUUGCUGGGCCGACACUGACGCUGAUGCGCGAAAGCCAGGGGAGCGAACAGG